rnacentral:rRNA from 1 species
UGGGGAAUAUUGCGCAAUGGGGGAAACCCUGACGCAGCGACGCCGCGUGUGGGAUGAAGGUCUUCGGAUUGUAAACCACUGUCGCGAGGGACGAAGCUCUGACGGUACCUCGAAAGGAAGCACCGGCUAACUCUGUGCCAGCAGCCGCGGUAAUACAGAGGGUGCGAGCGUUGUCCGGAAUCACUGGGCGUAAAGGGUGCGUAGGCGGCUGUGUAAGUCUGGCGUGAAAGCCCAGGGCUCAGCCCUGGAAGGGCGCUAGAAACUGCGCGGCUAGAGUGCCGGAGGGGAGAGUGGAAUUCCUGGUGUAGCGGUGAAAUGCGUAGAUAUCAGGAGGAAUACCGGUGGCGAAAGCGACUCUCUGGACGGCAACUGACGCUGAGGCACGAAAGCGUGGGGAGCAAACAGGAUUAGAUACCCAGGUAGUCCCUGAGCGGGCUGGCAAGGCGCAU